rnacentral:rRNA from 1 species
UACGAAGGGGGCUAGCGUUGUUCGGAAUUACUGGGCGUAAAGCGUGCGCAGACGGUCAUGUAAGUCGGGUGUGAAAGCCCCGGGCUCAACCUGGGAAUUGCAUUCGAGACUGCAUGGCUAGGGUGCGGAAGAGGGAAGCGGAAUUUCCGGUGUAGCGGUGAAAUGCGUAGAUAUCGGAAGGAACACCAGUGGCGAAAGCGGCUUCCUGGUCCAGCACCGACGUCAGGCACGAAAGCGUGGGGAGCAAACAGG